GGGGCCCGCACAAGUGGUGGAGCAUGUGGUUUAAUUCGAUGAUACGCGAGGAACCUUACCUAGGCUAGAAUGCGCGUGACCGGCUCAGAGAUGAGCCUUUCCUUCGGGACACAAAGCAAGGUGCUGCAUGGCCGUCGUCAGCUCGUGCCGUGAGGUGUUGGGUUAAGUCCCGCAACGAGCGCAACCCCUAUGUUUAGUUGCCAGCAUGUAAUGAUGGGGACUCUAGACAGACCGCCUGCGCAAGCAGUGAGGAAGGCGGGGACGACGUCAGGUCAUCAUGGCCCUUACGCCUAGGGCGACACACGUGCUACAAUGGACGGUACAGCGGGUAGCUACUGGGCGACCAGAUGCCAAUCUCGAAAAGCCGUUCUCAGUUCGGAUUGGAGUCUGCAACUCGACUCCAUGAAGCUGGAAUCACUAGUAAUCGCGCAUCAGCCAUGGCGCGGUGAAUACGUUCCCGGGCCUUGUACACACCGCCCGUCAAGCCAUGAAAGUCUGGUAGACCUGAAGCUGGUGCUCCGCAACGAAGCCAGUUAGGGUAGAACAGGUAAUUAGGGCUAAGUCGUAACAAGGUAGCCGUACCGGAAGGUGCGGCUGGAUCACCUCCUU
rnacentral:rRNA from 1 species